GAUGAACGCUGGCGGCGUGCCUAAUACAUGCAAGUCGAGCGAACGGACGAGAAGCUGGCUUCUCUGAUGUUAGCGGCGGACGGGUGAGUAACACGUGGAUAACCUACCUAUAAGACUGGGAUAACUUCGUGAAACCGGAGCUAAUACCGUAUGAUAUUUUGAACCGCAUGGUUCAAAAGUGUAAGACGGUCUUGCUGUCACUUAUAGAUGGAUCCGCGCUGCAUUAGCUAGUUGGUAAGGUAACGGCUUACCAAGGCAACGAUGCAUAGCCGACCUGAGAGGGUGAUCGGCCACACUGGAACUGAGACACGGUCCAGACUCCUACGGGAGGCAGCAGUAGGGAAUCUUCCGCAAUGGGCGAAAGCCUGACGGAGCAACGCCGCGUGAGUGAUGAAGGUCUUCGGAUCGUAAACCUCUGUUAUUAGGGAAGAACAUAUGUGUAAGUAACUGUGCACAUCUUGACGGUACCUAAUCAGAAAGCAACGGCUAACUACGUG
rnacentral:rRNA from 1 species